UAAAAUAAUAUUUCAACACAAUAUCCAAAAUAUUUAAAUACAAUUUCCAUUCGAUUUCACUAAAACGAUUUCAUCGAAUUUUCAAACAAACGACAAUCUUCCCUUUCUACCUUCCCCCUCUCUCUCUCAUCUACCUUCUUCCUUUUCGUCUCUUCUUCCUGAGCGCGGAUAAUUCGAAGCGAUAAGCCCCUCGUCGAUGAGAGGGUUUAUCGUCGGAGGGGCCUGUCGUCGUCGACGGUCUCUAGCUGAGAUUCAAAGACAAAGAAGGAAAAAGAGGAGUAGAGUGAAAGAGAGAAGUAGAAUUCGCACGGUUGCGUAAGUAAAGCAGCAACUCGAAAGAGGAGGAUCGUGAGCUUUAAGCCGACUGCUCGUAAAUCGCGCUCGUCCGUGUCCUCGACGAUUGGCUCGCGCAAUCGAUCCGAAAACGAGGAGAAGUUUCUGCAGAAGGUUCCUCGAGAAUAACACCAGCUGUAUGUUGGAAAUGCGUGAAGGAAGUCGAAAGGAAGGGGACGAUUAGGAUAAAUAUAGCAGAGACACGAUUCGUUAUCGCUGACGGAUAAAAGUGUGAAACUACUACUACUAAUAGAGAGAAACAGUUUCCCGAGAAUCAGGAGAUUCUCGAGGUCGUUUCUCGAUUCGCCAGAAGCAAGUUUCUCUGCAUCAAGGUCCAUUCUUCGUAGCGAACACGUUUUUUGUCUGGCCACCCGUCGUCCCUGCACACUAGCCAGGACACGACGCGUCUGAAAAGCGAGUGAUUCAAGCUUGAAUCCAGCGCGCCGCAUCGAUCAUCAUCAUCAUGCUCGAAUAACAUUUAUGCCUUCCUACGGCGGUAACCGUGCAAUACCAAUUUGUCGUCGAGUCAAUUUAGCUGGAACGAUUUUCGACAUCCUUGGGAUUUUUCAUUGUUCCUGAAAUUGCUGAUUCUUCCCAGACUUUCUAAACGUGACCUAUAUUCUAUUAUAUUAUAAACAAUUCCAAUGCUCUCUAUCAUAUUCUCAACGUUCGAUAUCCACAGUAUCCAAUUUCAUGAGUCCUGUAUUACCAGUAUCGAGUUUCACGACUCUGAAGAUGUCAGCAAUAAAAAUAUUUUGUGAAAUGAAAUGAAAUGUGUGAAAUGAAUACCACAUCAAAAUCAAAUCCAUUAAUCGUCAGAGGUGCUAAAUCAUCAUUUGCCAAAUAAAAGAAGAAAAGAGAAAUACCUAUAGGGGUUAAACGGCUCCGUAAAUUGUGAAAAUUGAACGAUCGUCGAAACGUUGGAAAUUAGAAGACAGUUGAAGGGGCGGGAAGCCUCUGAAGAGCAAGGUGAAGGUAAUACCGAAGGACCCUCCUCGUCCUUCGGGAGUGUCUUGGAGCAGAAGACAGCAGGGCACUCUAACGAACUUAUCCCGAAGGCUGAGUGCUGCCUCCGGCGAGCAGAAGAUAUACGAGAAUUCCUCUUCGCUUCACCAAUGUCUAUACAGGGUGGAGUAUAAUUAUUAUCAUAAAAUAAAACUCGCCUGUUAGAAAAAAAGAAAAUAGAUCUUGAUUGACUUACUAUUAUCAUGUUUGUUAAUGUUAUGUCUUUCCAUUGUGAUCUAAUAAUAUCUAAAUCUCUGACACAACUGAAAAAUGAUUAUGGCUUCUCUGUCUAGGGAACAUGAACUGUAUGGCUUGGCUUCAAUUCAGUUUCCAUGGUGAAAUGUAUUAUUAUAUGUUAACAUGCUAUUAUGUUUAGUUGUAUCAAUAAAUAUCUCAUGUUUAAAACUAA